GAUGAACGCUAGCUACAGGCUUAACACAUGCGAGUCGCGGGGCAGCAUGGGGGUUGCUUGCAAUCCCCGAUGGCGACCGGCGCACGGGUGAGUAACGCGUAUCCAACCUGCCCUUCACCACGGGAUAACCCGGCGAAAGUCGGACUAAUACCGUAUGUUGUCCAUUGACGGCAUCCGAUUUGGACGAAAGGCUUGGCGGUGAGGGAUGGGGAUGCGUCCGAUUAGCCAGACGGCGGGGUAACGGCCCACCGUGGCUACGAUCGGUAGGGGUUCUGAGAGGAAGGUCCCCCACACUGGAACUGAGACACGGUCCAGACUCCUACGGGAGGCAGCAGUGAGGAAUAUUGGUCAAGGGGCGUAAGCCUGAACCAGCCAAGUAGCGUGCAGGAGGACGGCCCUAUGGGUUGUAAACUGCUUUUAUGCGGGGAUAAAGUGGCCCACGUGUGGGCUUUUGCAGGUACCGCAUGAAUAAGGACCGGCUAAUUCCGUG
rnacentral:rRNA from 1 species